UAUGGCCAUACCACCCUGAAUGCACCCAAUCUUGACUGAUCUUGGAAGCUAAGCAGGGUCGGGCCUAGUUCGUACUUGGAUGGGAAACUCAAUAAUAAAAAAUUGAAUUUUCCAAAU
rnacentral:rRNA from 1 species